rnacentral:rRNA from 1 species
AUGGCUUUUUGGAUUAAAUAAAAAGUUUGACCUGCCCACUGAGAUUUAAAGGGCUGCAGUAUUAUGACUGUACAAAGGUAGCAUAAUCAUUAGUCUUUUAAUUGAGGACUGGAAUGAAGGGUUAGACGAGGAAUUACUGUCUCAAGGGCAAUUAAGUGAAAUUUUCUUUAAUGUGAAAAGGCAUUAGUGAUGGAAAGGGACAAGAAGACCCUUUAAAGCUAGAUUAGUCUUAUUAAGAAUAAGUAGGAUAAUAAAUUAUUCUAGGUAGGAUUAUUUUUGCUGGGGCGGUGAGUAGAAAACACUACUUUUUAUAAAUAAAAAUGAUUAAAUAAAUUGUGAUCGUGUAAUAUGGAUUAAUAGAAAAAGUUACUGAAGGGAUAACAGCGUAAUAUUUUUUAGAGUUCUUAUCAACAAAAAUGUUUGCGA